rnacentral:lncRNA from 1 species
GGUAACCUAGUUGUUACACAUCUAUUUACAGCCUAACUGGGAGGACCUUGGCAGGAGUGGUGUCGGCCUCUCACGCACUCAGCCCAAGACAGAGAACACCUGUGUGGUGGGCCCUGACUCCCAGUGUGGUGGAAGCCGCCCACACGUGCUCUGGGACUCUCUCUACCACAGCUACAAAACAAGUAUUCUUGAAAAAUAAGCAUGAAUGUUGAGCUAACUCCUAUGGCAUAUAAAUUACAGAUCUUUUAUUUCUCUAACUGUAGCAUGUGAAUAAAAUUCACUGCCCUUAUUCCUAAAUUAUGAUUCUAAAAUUUCAGAUAAAACUUGCAUUCUAGUGCAGAUAUAUACCUUAACACUACAGAUGCCUUUGUGAGACGGCGGGUGUGCAGCCUUCGGCUUCCCGCGGCUUUGAUGUGACAAAGCUCCUGCUAACUUCAGUGGCCUCAUCCAUUCCCACGUCCUUACCUGUCGUGACAAUCACUCUAUAGAAGGGGGCUCUCCAGUCAAAAUACAAGUGGAAGCUUAGCAGUCUCUAAAGGAAUCUGCAGAAGUUCUCCUUGGGGCUAUGUACCUUAACUAGUCUAGGAAUAAACUCUCAGUUUUAAGAGUGUUUUAGGGGUGAGGAAUGUCUGA